AUGAGCGAAAAUGCAGAAGUCAGUGCAAUAUUUUGCUAUCGUUUGAUCUCCCCAGGAGGACAAUGCACAGAGUGGACUCAAACCGGAGUGUUAAACUUAUCUAGUGCAGAAGGAAAAUAUAGGAUGGGAGGGUGGGAGAAGGUCAUGGGGAAAACUUUGCUUGAAGCAGAAUAUGUGGAAUUUGACCGCUUCUUGAUUGAAUUUUCCAUCACUGUUAUGAAAGAUCCACUGGUGACUUGCAGUGACUUAUUAUCACCCCAAGUGAAGCUGCCACCACCAGAACUGUCAACUGAUUUUGCAGAUCUUCUAGAGUCAAAAGAAUGGGCGGACAUGACCUUCUGCGUCCAAGGUGAAGCAUUUCCUGCACAUAGGGUAGUGCUCGCUGCAAGGUCACCGGUGUUUAGGGCGCAGCUCUGUGGACCAAUGAUGGAGAAAGACGGGCCAUCCGUAAUCGUGGAAGAUAUGUUACCUGACGUUUUUAGGGCUCUCAUACAUUUUGUGUACACAGACUGCUUGGUGCUUCCUUUUGACGGUUUUGAUGACGAGGACAGAAAAGAGAUUGUACGCCACUUACUCGAGGCUGCUGAUCGCUACACAAUUGAAAAGUUGAAGCUCAUAUGUGAGGCUACUCUUUGCAGCUGUCUUGAUGUACAAACAGUGGCAACUACAUAUGCGCUAGCUGAUCAACAUCAGUGUAUGGCAUCUCCAACAAUACUUGGUGAAGUAAUGGCGAGCCAAGACUAUGAAAACCUCAAGAGAAAGAGUUCUAGUACAGCAUUGGAGAUUUUAGAGAGCGUUUGUAAGUUCCCAAAGAUCUAG
rnacentral:rRNA from 1 species